CAGGAUUUUCUUCUAGUUGUUCAGAGACGAUAGGUUGAGGCAUGGACAUGUUCAAGUAUGCGUAAAAGCAAAGCAUAUUGUUUCAUAACAUGUAGGCCGUAUACCUAGAAAAAUACCAAUCUGUGUUAUUAUUAAAGCUUUUCCUCAUGCGCACAAAGAUUUGAUAGAAACGUAAUGCAACAUGCAAGUUCCUUUUUUAGUGAGCAAAGAAAAUGCAGGGCUUGCUAUGUGCCUGGAACAAUCCCAAACAGCUUUGAUAUAUUAAGUCAUUUAAUCUUCACAAGAUUCUUAGGGUGUAAGUAUAAUUUUCAUUUUAUAGUUUGAAAACUGAGGCAAACAGGGGUUGAGGCCAUUCAGCUCCUAGGAAGCAGAGCUGGAAUUCCACUCAGGCUCUAGAUUUAAGGUGCUUAAUAUUCCUCUCAGGCUAUGUAAGGCAAACCAAGUGUCAUCUCCUAUGAGAGAAUCCAUGACUGCAGCUGAGAAGAGACAGAGGAGUGAAGUUUCCACCCUGUUUCCACCUUCUCUACUACUUUAUAACAUGCUUUGAAUAGUCCCAGUAGGUUACCUGAGAAGGAAUUUAUUCUUGUCUGAGAGCAGCGGGUCCAUACCAUUUAUAGUGACAAGGCUAGACCAAAACAACACUUUAAUGGAAGCUCUGUCAAAGCAAAGAUAUUCCUCCAGAACCUGGCACCUCUUUCAAAAGGGUCUUCCAUGGGACAAAGAAACCUUUACUUAUUUUUGAAACAGAAUAAAACUCAUUCUGUCUUGUAAUUACCAUGUGGCAUCAUUGAGCAAUUUUAAAAAUUCAGGACAUAGUAUAGAAUAGUCAUGAUCUUAUUUGGCCAAUAUUUUGAAUAUUUCUAUUUCAUUAACUUAAGAAUUAUUUCAUUACUACUCAUCACUUAUUCCCAACAAUGAUAAAAAAAAAACCAACAGACUAAAAUAUUUAAAAAACAGAACAAUGACAGAAUUGCCUAGAAGGAUGAGACAAUAGCAAAAUAAAUCAGCAUCAUCCCAUCAUUCAGUUUUCUGAUUGUGCUGACUGAAGUAUUGCAUCAUCAUUCAAGAAGGCAUGAAAGAAGACUGAAGACAUUUCUACAGUCUACUUUUAGUUCCACUGAACAAUUUAAAACUUAAAAUUUUUAUUUUUUAUCUAUAACUGCAAAGAGAAGAAAACCAACAGAGGAAGAUAGUUCAGUUAUUAGAGGAAUCAGAAGAUAAAUACGAAAAGACAGAGCACUACACUACACUUUAAUGAUUAGGGUGAAAUUGAAACUCAUCAUUCAAGUGAAAUCUCAGACUAUAAACUUUCAAAUGACAGUGAGUUUUUUUCAAAUACAA